rnacentral:rRNA from 1 species
UACAGAGGUCCCGAGCGUUGUUCGGAUUCAUUGGGCGUAAAGGGUGCGUAGGCGGCGGGGAAAGUCUGAUGUGAAAUCCUGGGGCUCAACCCUGGAACUGCAUUGGAUACUUCCUUGCUAGAGUACUGGAGAGGGAACUGGAAUUUACGGUGUAGCAGUGAAAUGCGUAGAGAUCGUAAGGAAGACCAGUGGCGAAGGCGAGUUUCUGGACAGUUACUGACGCUGAGGCACGAAGGCCAGGGGAGCAAACGGG